rnacentral:lncRNA from 1 species
GAAACAGGCUGAAGGUGCUGCUAUUUGGAAAACAACAGCUGUAGAGCUGUUGAUUGUUGGCAAGGAACACAACUGCCAUCCCCGUAUUCAGCAGGAGUGCGAUCCUUGAAACAGAGUGCUUCAAAGCAGGGACAGGGAAUACCGCUGACUGCACGACACCGUGCUAAGGCUCUGGAGAAAGAAACGUGUCCACUCCCCAGCUCUGUCUGCCAAGAGUGACAAUCAGCAAAACAUGAACUUUCCGGUGAAAUGCUGAGAACAACAACCCAAAACGGUGAAAAUUUCAGAACUGCCAUGCCCUCACAAAACAAAGAGACACCCUGAGACCUCUUGUCCAUAUUUCCAUGUCAAAGUGACAAGCGUGUGCCUGACCCUGUGAUACCGCAAAGUGCCUCUGAAACGGAACCCUCCAACCUGGCACUCGGGACAGUCAGAGGUCUUCAGAAGGAUUUAUCUGCGUGUUCUGGAGGGCAGCGGUGCAG